rnacentral:ribozyme from 1 species
AACAAAGAGGAAUGAAGAGAAAAAGAACGAAGUGAAAGUGAAGAAAGGGCGUGCGCUUCACUUACCCCUUUUGUUCAUUUCACUUCAGUUCUUUAUCCUUCAUUC